CAGAGUUCAUGCCCUAACGGGUAGAUCUCCCACCCUUGAUAUUUAUACCUUUGUUGCUUUGGCGGGCCCGCUUCUGCUACCGGCUUCGGCUGGUAAGUGCCCGCCAGAGAACCCCAACUCUUGUUUUUUUGUGUCGUCUGAGUACUAUAUAAUAGUUA
rnacentral:misc_RNA from 1 species